rnacentral:rRNA from 1 species
GAUGAACGCUGGCGGCGUGCCUAAUACAUGCAAGUCGAGCGAACGGACGAGAAGCUUGCUUCUCUGAUGUUAGCGGCGGACGGGUGAGUAACACGUGGAUAACCUACCUAUAAGACUGGGAUAACUUCGGGAAACCGGAGCUAAUACCGGAUAAUAUUUUGAACCGCAUGGUUCAAAAGUGAAAGGCGGUCUUGCUGUCACUAUAGAUGGAUCCGCGCUGCAUUAGCUAGUUGGUAAGGUAACGGCUUACCAAGGCAACGAUGCAUAGCCGACCUGAGAGGGUGAUCGGCCACACUGGAACUGAGACACGGUCCAGACUCCUACGGGAGGCAGCAGUAGGGAAUCUUCCGCAAUGGGCGAAAGCCUGACGGAGCAACGCCGCGUGAGUGAUGAAGGUCUUCGGAUCGUAAAACUCUGUUAUUAGGGAAGAACAUAUGUGUAAGUAACUGUGCACAUCUUGACGGUACCUAAUCAGAAAGCCACGGCUAACUACGUG